UACGAAGGGGGCUAGCGUUGUUCGGAUUUACUGGGCGUAAAGCGCGCGCAGGCGGUUCUUCAAGUCAGUGGUGAAAGCCCGGAGCUCAACUCCGGAACUGCCAUUGAAACUGUAGAACUUGAGUCCGGGAGAGGUGAGUGGAACUGCGAGUGUAGAGGUGAAAUUCGUAGAUAUUCGCAAGAACACCAGUGGCGAAGGCGGCUCACUGGCCCGGUACUGACGCUGAGGUGCGAAAGCGUGGGGAGCAAACAGGG
rnacentral:rRNA from 1 species